rnacentral:lncRNA from 1 species
UGGGAAUUGAGUAUAACAGUGUCGGAACAUUAUAAGUAUAACUUAUCCUCAGAAUGACACAGCUACUGCAAAAAAGGACUUCUAACAAGGCCAGUAGUAUAUAUCAGGGAUCAUGCUGUAUUUGGAAUAUCAAAAGAAAGAAGGAAACAAGAAACUUGGACAAGCUGAAAAUCACAUUUAUAGUUCCACAGCAUUCAUCACUUUGCUCAUGUUUUCUUGACUAAAUAAACAACAAAUGAACAAAC